GAAAGUAGCAGAUCUGAGAUCUGAAUGUAGAUCUGAUUUCAAUCCCAAAGUCCUUUACUAAUGAUAGCCAAUAUCACGAGUCUUCUAAGAUUACAGAGCAUUUUCCAGUAAAUUUCUAAUUUGAUUCUGUCACUACUCAUAGGAGGCCAAAAUUAUGAUAAUUCCCAUUUUACAGAUAAAAGAACUGAGGCUUGGAGGAUUCAAGCAACUUGCCAAAGGUUCCUGUUGGCAAAUGGUAUAUCCAAAAAGAUCUGAGCUGAAGCCAAUUCCUGCAUUCCUUCUGCUACACCUUGGCAAGGACUGGAUCACUGAGUGUUGGCCCCUCAGCUGCUUCUAGCAAAGAGCUGGAUACUGACAGGCAGAAUUCUCACCUAACAGCCCCAGCGAACACCCUGGUGCCAAGCCAUGGAUGGCCCUGACUGGACUCUGCCCCAGACACCUGCCCAUGGAGGACAGAAGAGGAGGCUGUUCCAGGCCAAGUGACCAGCUGCUCUGGGGACUCGCAGCCCGGCACUGGGAGCUGACAGGGAGCAGGAGGGGCAGAGCGCUCUGCCUGGGCUCCAACAAACAGGCUUUCUAGUGAAUGGACCAAUUGGCAGUUGUGGGUUAUGUGGCCAGUUGUGGUUAGGGGAAGGGAGGAGCUCCUGGAGGAACACUGCAUUCCUGCUCCUGUCAGUGACUCCGAGAGAGUUCUGGACUAAGAGGGAGAAGUGCCUAGCAGCAGCCAAUGGAAAGGGCACUUGUCUUCUGGCUGGAGGACCCGGGACUGGGCUGGGCUGGGCCCCCGGCCCAGGGCUCACGGCAGCCACAGAAAUGAGUGAGUAUUGCUCGUUGUAUUUGGAGUCAUCCAUGACUUUCCUCCCUUCACACGGGGAAACCUUAGGAAGGUGUCCUCUCCCCACUUACUCUCCUGCUCUAGGCCUCCCCCAUCUCUGCCCAGCCUGGCCUCCACACAGGCAUCCAAGCAUCACCUUGGACUUCCCAGUUGGCACUGGGCAAACCAACAUAGAGAACCAAGACAAGGAGCAACCUUAAAUCACGUUUCUGAUUUCCUUCAAGUGACUUCUGAAGCCAAACCACUUUGGGCCUUUGGGGCACUGGAACAUUUCUUCAUUGUCAUACUCAUACCCCUUGAUGUGUGUGUCCCUGGCAGUCUGUGAAGAGGGAGGCCAUGUAAUUCAACAAAGUGUGGACAAGCACAGGCCAGGCAUGCAGCAGGCACUAAAAAUGUUUAUUGCACUAACAGAUGACUACAGAUGGUGUAGGUUCUCACUUCCUGUUUCUAGGUAAUUCUCUGCCUCAUUUACUCUGAAGUCACAUAGGGCCAGGAUAGGAAGUGAGCUUGCUGUGAUGCUUGGGCACCAGCUGACACAUCAUCCUUUUCAUGAUUCUCUUUUUCCGAUGAAGGUUGGAAACUUUCAUUCUAGAAGGGUCCUCAGCUGAGGGAUUGUGACUUUAGGGGGUAGGGAGGCCACUUGGGAAGCCAGAAUUCACUGUGGAUUAAUUGCUUAUCAAUUUCUGGGUUAGAUUUUUCAGUUCUGAGGGGUUCAUGAGAGCAACCUAAGAAUCGGUCCUGCUGAGGUCCAGGAGACAGUGCCGGGCCUGGUUGUGGCAGGAAGCUCCAGGAGAGGAAAGUGGACAGGCUGCUGAUACAGUCUUGCAUUGCAGCAGUGCUUGCCCUUUGUGGGUGGCACAAGUCCUGAAGCCAGCACGUAUUUCUGUGGCUCUGGGACAAGGGGGACAGACUUUCCCCCAGCCAUAGGAUGGCGUGGUCUCAACAAGUAUCAAUAGUUCCAAAGUACCAAAGAUUGGCUCUCAGUAGUUUGCCAAACACAAAGGCUUCACAGCAGCCCUAGGAAGCUGGCAGGUGGGAGCUGCUGUUCCCAUUUAAUUGACAAGGACAUUCUGUCCAAGAUCCUUCCCUGGUGGCUGCUUUACCAACCUUUAUGCUGCCCCUCAUCUUGAAAGUGGGAGAAGACAUGACUGAAAGGGCGGGCUGCAGUACAAAGGACAUAGGUGCAUGGCUGGGAGAUGGGACGCUCUGGCUCUGACGUCCUGCUCCCAAAUCUGGUCAGCCAGGAGUCCUACAUUCUGGCCCUUUCUGUAGCACUGGGACAAGAAAGCAGCAUUUUCUUGGCAGCCCCAGCUUCCAAGGUAGCUGCUGUCCACCCCCAGUUGACUUUCUAAAGAGCCACAGAGCCACUUAGGUGGAAGAAAGAAAGCUGGGAAGGAAGGAGAAAAGGAAGGGAGAAAGAAAGGAAGAGAGAAGGAAUAGAAAAAAGAAAGAAAAGAGAAA